GAAAUGCGAUAAGUAGUGUGAAUUGCAGACUUUAGUGAAUCAUCGAAUCUUUGAACGCACAUUGCGCCCCUUGGUAUUCCAUUGGGCAUGCCUGUUCGAGCGUCAUAUACCCCCUCAAGCUCCCGCUUGGUGUUGGGCGCCUGUCCGCGCGGCGCAACGGCCGCGCGGACUCGCCUCAAAGGUAUUGGCAGCGGCCCCCGAGGACCUCCUUCUGCGCAGCACAGCGCGCUUCCGGAUGGCUCCCGGCGGGCUCGCGACCCAGAGGAUGACCCCCCCCCCCAGUUUGACCUCGAAUCAGGUAGGGAUACCCGCUGAACUUAAGC
rnacentral:misc_RNA from 1 species